UACGGAGGAUCCGAGCGUUAUCCGGAUUUAUUGGGUUUAAAGGGUGGCAGGCGGGAGAUUAAGUCGGCGGUGAAAUUUUGCAGCUCAACUGUAAAAGUGCCUUCGAAACUGGUUUCCUUGAGUGUAGAUGAAGUAGGCGGAAUUUGUGGUGUAGCGGUGAAAUGCAUAGAUAUCACGAGGAACUCCGAUUGCGCAGGCAGCUUACUAAACUACUACUGACGCUCAGGCACGAAGGCGUGGGGAUCAAACAGGAUUAGAUACCCCGGUAGU
rnacentral:rRNA from 1 species